UACGGAGGGUGCGAGCGUUGUCCGGAAUCAUUGGGCGUAAAGGGCGCGUAGGUGGCCCGGUCAGCGUGCGGUGAAAGCUCGGGGCUCAACCCCGAGUCGGCCGUGCGAACUGCUGGGCUCGAGCACUGUAGAGGCAGGCGGAAUUCCGGGUGUAGCGGUGGAAUGCGUAGAGAUCCGGAAGAACACCGAUGGCGAAGGCAGGUCUCUGGGCAUUAACUGACGCUGAGGAGCGAAAGCAUGGGAGCGAACAGG
rnacentral:rRNA from 1 species